GCUAUGAACGGACGGGAUAACCGCUGAAAGCAUCUAAGCGGGAAGCCCCCCUUGAGAUGAGGUCUCACUAGCGACUUGAUCGCUCUGUAGGGUCCUUGUAGACCACAAGGUUGAUAGGCUGGGUGUGGAAGUGCAGUAAUGUAUGAAGCUAACCAGUACUAAUUGCCCGUGAGGCUUGACCAUAUAACACCCAAGUAAUUUGG
rnacentral:rRNA from 1 species